UCCUACGGGAGGCAGCAGUGGGGAAUCUUGCGCAAUGGGCGAAAGCCUGACGCAGCGACGCCGCGUGGGGGAUGAAGGCCUUCGGGUUGUAAACCCCUUUCGGCGGGGACGAAGCGAAAGUGACGGUACCCGCAGAAGAAGUCCCGGCUAACUACGUGCCAGCAGCCGCGGUA
rnacentral:rRNA from 1 species